UACGGAGGAUUCAAGCGUUAUCCGGAUUUAUUGGGUUUAAAGGGUGCGUAGGCGGUCGGAUAAGUUAGAGGUGAAAUCCCGAGGCUCAACUUCGGAAUUGCCUCUGAUACUGUUCGGCUAGAGAGUAGUUGAGGUAGGCGGAAUGCGUGGUGUAGCGGUGAAAUGCAUAGAUAUCACGCAGAACUCCGAUUGCGAAGGCAGCUUACUAAGCCAUAACUGACACUGAAGCACGAAAGCGUGGGGAUCAAACAGG
rnacentral:rRNA from 1 species